AACGUCCUCAACCAAGAUAUUAUCUCGCUCACAGGCAUGAGAUCGUUUUGCCGCAAUUUAAAUAUCUGGCGUACCAACAGUGCUUGCCAGGCUGCGUAGUGGUAAAAAAGAACACGUCCAAUAAGAAAAUUACCUUUACAAGUAAUAGGGAGAAGAUUGUCAACCUUACAAAUGACAUUUCAUGCGAGGCUUAUGAUGGAUAAAAAAUACAUGAAAUCUAUAAAGAUACAUGAAUACACAAGAAUCCUCAGAAGAUCCAGUUGAAACGGGCUUAAUCAAGGCGACAAAAGCAAGGAAUUGAUUUUUAUGUACUGGAG